GGCGGGACACGUGGUAUCCUGUCUGAAUAUGGGGGGACCAUCCUCCAAGGCUAAAUACUCCUGACUGACCGAUAGUGAACCAGUACCGUGAGGGAAAGGCGAAAAGAACCCCGGCGAGGGGAGUGAAAAAGAACCUGAAACCGUGUACGUACAAGCAGUGGGAGCACCUUCGGGUGUGACUGCGUACCUUUUGUAUAAUGGGUCAGCGACUUAUAUUCUGUAGCAAGGUUAACCGUAUAGGGGAGCCGAAGGGAAACCGAGUCUUAACUGGGCGUUAAGUUGCAGGGUAUAGACCCGAAACCCGGUGAUCUAGCCAUGGGCAGGUUGAAGGUUGGGUAACACUAACUGGAGGACCGAACCGACUAAUGUUGAAAAAUUAGCGGAUGACCUGUGGCUGGGGGUGAAAGGCCAAUCAAACCGGGAGAUAGCUGGUUCUCCCCGAAAGCUAUUUAGGUAGCGCCUCGUGAACUCAUCUUCGGGGGUAGAGCACUGUUUCGGCUAGGGGGCCAUCCCGGCUUACCAACCCGAUGCAAACUACGAAUACCGAAGAAUGUUAUCACGGGAGACACACGGCGGGUGCUAACGUCCGUCGUGAAGAGGGAAACAACCCAGACCGCCAGCUAAGGUCCCAAAGUCAUGGUUAAGUGGGAAACGAUGUGGGAAGGCACAGACAGCCAGGAUGUUGGCUUAGAAGCAGCCAUCAUUUAAAGAAAGCGUAAUAGCUCACUGGUCGAGUCGGCCUGCGCGGAAGAUGUAACGGGGCUAAACCAUGCACCGAAGCUGCGGCAGCGACACUAUGUGUUGUUGGGUAGGGGAGCGUUCUGUAAGCCGUUGAAGGUGUGCUGUGAGGCAUGCUGGAGGUAUCAGAAGUGCGAAUGCUGACAUAAGUAACGAUAAAGCGGGUGAAAAGCCCGCUCGCCGGAAGACCAAGGGUUCCUGUCCAACGUUAAUCGGGGCAGGGUGAGUCGACCCCUAAGGCGAGGCCGAAAGGCGUAGUCGAUGGGAAACAGGUUAAUAUUCCUGUACUUGGUGUUACUGCGAAGGGGGGACGGAGAAGGCUAUGUCAGCCGGGCGACGGUUGUCCCGGUUUAAGCAUGUAGGCGGAGGUUCCAGGUAAAUCCGGUACCUUUUAACGCUGAGGUGUGAUGACGAGGCACUACGGUGCUGAAGUGAUAAAUGCCCUGCUUCCAGGAAAAGCCUCUAAGCAUCAGGUAACACGAAAUCGUACCCCAAACCGACACAGGUGGUCAGGUAGAGAAUACCAAGGCGCUUGAGAGAACUCGGGUGAAGGAACUAGGCAAAAUGGUGCCGUAACU
rnacentral:rRNA from 1 species